CAUAUGCAAACCCACAGACAGUACAUGUAACAUCACCUGAGCCACAAGAACCAAGACCAAAAUCAGUCAAAUUUUUGUGAUAAAAGAAGAAAAGAGCUCUUGUCUUUUGAUUUCUUCAGUGUUAUUGAGACCAUCUGGAUGGUAUACCUGAGUAAACCCAUGUAAGGCCUCCAUAUAAACCUUUAAGAUACUGGUGGGUAGGUGUGAAGAUCUACUCCUUUGCAGUCACCCAAGACAAGCCUCAAAGAAAAAGUCCCAUCCUGUCUUUCAUUGGCAUCUGAAAACAACUUCACUCCCACCUACCCUAAGAAGUGUUCUUUCAGGAAGAACUGAGUCUGUUGUGAGGAAACAUGGCUAAUAUUGAUUCAGAAAACCUCAAGAAUUCUGCACUGGAAAAGGACCAAAGCAAUGAAAAAAAGUAUGCAGUUUUCAGUUUAAUUUAGAAGUUGUGCAAACUAAUAAAGAUUCUACAUUUGAGGAGUUGACACCUGACAAACCUUCCAGCAUAUUCACUGAUUCAAAAUAGGAAAAAGUUUAUAUCAUAAAAUACAUAAUUAAAUAAAUAGUUUGAAAUUUUGAAAAAAACUGCUUGUAUGCUUUGAAAUCACUUACAGA